CUGAUAUUUCCAACCGUCCGUUGGCACUUAUUCUCCCACCGUUCUAUCCUCCUGUCUCUGCUGAUCUUUCUUCUAUUCCUCUCUACACGCGCCAUGGUUUCUUGCUUCUUCCAGCCACGUCGCUCAAGCCGCCGGAAAAAUCCUGCCGCCCAGCCGCUCACCGCCGGUGAGGUCACAGCCGUCGUUCUUAUCUUCUUGCGCCGCUCCUCUGUUGAUAUUUUCAUCAGCCGCUUAAACACUGGAUAAAAUCCUGCACGCCGAGGUUCUUCCUCAUGGCGCUCGGCCUCUUCCCAGCGCUACCGGCCAUCCCUCUGCUCGCCCAGCUCGCGAAACCCUCUGCGCGCGGACCUCUCUCAUCCCCAUGGCGUCUUCCCCUGCUGGUUCGUCGGCGCCCGAGCUCCCUCUGCCCGUCAAUGGCCUCAGCCCGGGAGUUCGUCUGCUUUCCCCGCUCGUCCUUCCCUCAAAAUCGCCUGACCGCGCGACCUCCAUGGAGCUCCCUUCAGUUCUUCCCAAUUAAUGGUCGCGUCCCUCAAGCUCGCUCUCCCAUGCCGCACCCAGCCCCUGCUCUGCUCGCCGUGGAGCUCGCCUCCGACCCCUGCUUGCCGCGUUCCUGUGCGCCGUCACCUUGCUGCGUGCGUCGUGGUUUUCUUCCUCUGCGCGCCAGGCUGUUUCGGAGCUUCCUUUGCUCCAUUCCUUGGUUGCGUGUUGAGCCCCUCCCGCUGGUCGCGAGCUGUCUGUUCGUCGUAGUCGAGCCGUUCUUAGUUGCUCGCCAUCGAAGCUCCCCUGUUGGCUGCGUCCUGUUUGCGCCGCAUGCGCUCACUCCUCAUCCAUCGGGUUCUGACGGGUUCACGUUUAGCGUCGAGUCGUCAAACCUGUCAUCCUCUGCUCAAACCCACCUCGUCAGCUCGCUUCAGACAUAAUCCUGUCGUCGUUCUGUGCGUCGGGUGAAGACGAAGCUAGCCGAGUAAUAUUCACCGAGAGCACGACCAAAAAGCUCGAACCAGUCGUCAAUCGCCUCAACAACAACCAUAUCCACGACUCUCACCGUUCCAAUAAUUUUGCCGCAUCGCCCUUCAAAUCCGAGACCUCGUCCGUAGGAUCGUCGUUGACCUCGCAACUUCAGCUCGAGUUAAUUAUGGACGAUAAAUAAUCACGUGAUGCGGAAGACAAGCCAAGUCGACACCAAGCGCGGGCUAAUCCGCAGGAUGAAGCUGAUGGACCAACCUGAAGAUGGUUAAAUCAAACAAGUACUCGGUUGAGGGAUACUCGUCAAACGGACAUCGUCUAACAACACUAACCUAGUGUUACUCAGGUUCUAACUUUGUGCUGUUGUUGAUGGUGUUAAGUGCCAGUGGGCUCGGCCUUCUUAUAAGUAUAAACUGUAAUCUUGCUGACGGAGAGUACAUCCUCGUGCCGGAGCAAGGAGCUGCUCAGGAGGUAGCCCCAGAUCCAGCACCCGAGCCUGCACCAGAGGACCUGCCUGCCACUGCUUUGGAAGAUGACUUCCCACGGAUCCUCCGAUGACGGAAAUGCAUUAACCCACACUGACGGGCUUGCACGAGAGGGCUUUCCCCGCAUUUUGUGGGAAGUACUUCAGGGGGCCGGAUACACGACACCCCCUCAGUACGCGGUGCAGCAGUUCGAGAAGCACCGAGUGCCUCGCUGUCAGGUGAGGAUGACCUUGGAGCCUCAUCCCUUGCAGCCAGGAUGGCGCUCUUUGGACUCCGAGUCUUUCGGGUACCGGGCAGAGGACACGAUCGAGGCGAUCGCUCUGCAUGGAUUGACUACCUUCUGCAGAUUCCAUCCCUUGGAGCUGGCUACCCACCCCAUUGGCUUGUUCCCCGCUGAGAAGGAGGACGACCCAAUGUGGAAGGAUCGGGUGGAGCAUGCCAAGGACAUCUGGGCCAUCUACCCAGGUCAGACUGCGCACUUGACAGUACGGUGCAUGAAUGCUCUGUACCGUCUGAAGGUGAUGCGCGGUGAGGCAAUGUCCCAUCUGAUGGCACUGUUGGAGACAACAAAGAUCACGUUGGAUAACAGAGAGGAGCUCGUGGUUGAUUUAUCUCAAGAAAUGGUGGAGAAGGACUUGCAGGUGGAGCAGCUAUCCACUGAUAUUCAGGAGUUGGAGGAGCUGGUGGGCACCAGGGAGAACACCAUCGAGGUCCUAGAAGAUCAGCUCAUUAACACUCAGCAGCAGCUUGCUGAGGCUAACGAGCACCUGGACAUGCAUCACCAGGAGAUCCAGGACCAGGAGGCCAACAAGGACGUUGACAUUGAGGGAGGAGAUGAGCCUGCCUCCAGUGUGGACACUGCUGGCUCGGGAAGACCACCUUCCCCCG
rnacentral:misc_RNA from 1 species